CUCCUGGAAACGGGUGGUAAUGCCGGAUGCUCCGCCCCCUCGCAUGGGGGGUCGGGAAGGCUUUUGCGGAAUGGGAUGGGGUCGCGUCCCAUCAGCUUGUUGGCGGGGCGACGGCCCACCAAGGCUUCGACGGGUAGCCGGCCCGAGAGGGCGACCGGCCACAUUGGGACUGAGAUACGGCCCAGACUCCUACGGGAGGCAGCAGUGGGGAAUAUUGCACAAUGGGGGGAACCCUGAUGCAGCGACGCCGCGUGCGGGAUGGAGGCCUUCGGGUCGUGAACCGCUUUUGAUUGGGAGCAAGCGUGAGUGAGUGUACCUUUCGAAUAAGCACCGGCUAACUACGUGCCAGCAGCCGCGGUAAUGCGUAGGGUGCAAGCGUUGUCCGGAAUCAUUGGGCGUAAAGGGCUCGUAGGCGGUUCGUCGCGUCCGGUGUGAAAGCCCAUCGCUUAACGGUGGGUCUGCGCCGGGUACGGGCGGGCUUGAGUGCGGCAGGGGAGGCUGGAAUUCCCGGUGUAACGGUGGAAUGUGUAGAUAUCGGGAAGAACACC
rnacentral:rRNA from 1 species